UACGUAGGCAGCGAGCGUUGUUCGGAUUUACUGGGCGUAAAGGGUGCGUAGGCGGUUGUUUAAGUUUGGUGUGAAAUCUCCCGGCUCAACCGGGAGGGUGCGCCGAAUACUGAAUGACUAGAGUGCGGGAGAGGAAAGUGGAAUUCCUGGUGUAGCGGUGAAAUGCGUAGAUAUCAGGAGGAACACCGGUGGUGUAGACGGCUUUCUGGACCGUAACUGACGCUGAGGCACGAAAGCGUGGGUAGCAAACAGG
rnacentral:rRNA from 1 species